rnacentral:rRNA from 1 species
CACGUAGGGUGCGAGCGUUGUCCGGAAUUAUUGGGCGUAAAGAGCUCGUAGGCGGUGUGUCGCGUCGGCCGUGAAAACUUGCAGCUUAACUGUGGGCGUGCGGUCGAUACGGGCAUCACUGGAGUUCGGCAGGGGAGACUGGAAUUCCUGGUGUAGCGGUGAAAUGCGCAGAUAUCAGGAGGAACACCGGUGGCGAAGGCGGGUCUCUGGGCCGAUACUGACGCUGAGGAGCGAAAGUGUGGGGAGCGAACAGG